rnacentral:rRNA from 1 species
UACGAAGGGGGCUAGCGUUGUUCGGAUUUACUGGGCGUAAAGCGCACGUAGGCGGAUCGUUAAGUCGGGUGUGAAAUCCUGGAGCUCAACUCCAGAACUGCCUUCGAUACUGGCGAUCUCGAGUCCGGAAGAGGUGAGUGGAACUCCUAGUGUAGAGGUGGAAUUCGUAGAUAUUAGGAAGAACACCAGUGGCGAAGGCGGCUCACUGGUCCGGUACUGACGCUGAGGUGCGAAAGCGUGGGGAGCAAACAGG